GUGGGGAAUUUUGGACAAUGGGCGCAAGCCUGAUCCAGCAAUGCCGCGUGCAGGAAGAAGGCCUUCGGGUUGUAAACUGCUUUUGUACGGAACGAAACGGCUCUGGUUAAUACCCGGGGCUAAUGACGGUACCGUAAGAAUAAGCACCGGCUAACUACGUGCCAGCAGCCGCGGUAAUACGUAGGGUGCAAGCGUUAAUCGGAAUUACUGGGCGUAAAGCGUGCGCAGGCGGUUUUGUAAGACAGGGGUGAAAUCCCCGGGCUCAACCUGGGAAUGGCGCUUGUGACUGCAAAGCUGGAGUGCGGCAGAGGGGGAUGGAAUUCCGCGUGUAGCAGUGAAAUGCGUAGAUAUGCGGAGGAACACCGAUGGCGAAGGCAAUCCCCUGGGCCUGCACUGACGCUCAUGCACGAAAGCGUGGGGAGCAAACAGGAUUAGAAACCCCUGUAGUCC
rnacentral:rRNA from 1 species